rnacentral:tRNA from 1 species
GAGGGUAUAGUUAAAUGGUAGACUGCAUGCUUAGCAUGCACGAGGUCCUGGGUUCAAUCCCCAGUUCUUCCA